rnacentral:rRNA from 1 species
AACGAACCGCUGGCGGCAUGCCUAACACAUGCAAGUCGAACGCUAUCUUUGAUAGAGUGGCGCACGGGUGAGUAACGCGUGGGAACCUGCCUUUCACUGCGGGACAACGGUUGGAAACGACCGCUAAUACCGCAUACGCCCUACGGGGGAAAGAUUUAUCGGUGAAAGAGGGGCCCGCGUCUGAUUAGCUUGUUGGUAGGGUAAUGGCCUACCAAGGCGACGAUCGGUAGCUGGUCUGAGAGGAUGAUCAGCCACACUGGGACUGAGACACGGCCCAGACUCCUACGGGAGGCAGCAGUGGGGAAUAUUGGACAAUGGGGGCAACCCUGAUCCAGCAAUGCCGCGUGUGUGAUGAAGGCCUUAGGGUUGUAAAGCACUUUCACUGGUGAAGAUGAUGACGGUAACCAGAGAAGAAGCCCCGGCUAACUUCGUGCCAGCAGCCGCGGUAAUACGAAGGGGGCGAGCGUUGUUCGGAAUUACUGGGCGUAAAGGGCGCGUAGGCGGUCUUUUAAGUUAGGCGUGAAAGCCCCGGGCUCAACCUGGGAACUGCGCUUAAAACUGGAAGACUAGAAAACGGAAGAGGGUAGUGGAAUUCCCAGUGUAGAGGUGAAAUUCGUAGAUAUUGGGAAGAACACCAGUGGCGAAAGCGGCUACCUGGUCCGAUUGACGCUGA